GCCUUAGUAGUAUAAAAAUUACAUUGGUUUUGUAAACCAAAAACGGAGCAUCAAUCUCCCUAAGACA
rnacentral:tRNA from 1 species